GGGGCAGCUGCAGGGCGCGAGACCCGAGGGCCACGCAGCUGCCCGCCCCCGCCGCGGCCGAGAGGGGCGGGUGCGGCAGCUCCCUGAGGCCGGGGGGCGAUGCACGCGGGGCGUGGGCGACAGCCCGCCUCCAGGGCCCGCGUCCGGGAGUCUGCAGCGGUCACCAGCGCCCACCAUCUCCCAAGGCCGGCCUUGGCACUGAGCUCCGGUGGCGGCUUGCGCCUUGGAGACGGAGUCCUUCCUUGGGAACCCGGGAAAGCGACUUAGGGAGUCACUUAUCCUGGGAGCCCCAAACCACUGCUCAACUGAGCUUCCCCCAAGCCUAAGCCCCCAAGACCCCGUGCCGAUUGAAAGGUUCUCUAGAGCCCCGAGCUAGAAGAAGCCAGGCCACAGGGCGAAGUCUACACGUCUCGGAUGGACACAGUUGCAGGAGCCCCGGAGGCCACAGUUACCCAUCAGAAAGAAGGCUGUAGAGCCACGGAAUCAUCAGACUCAGCUACUGGGGUACUGACACCAGUCUAUGGUUUUGAAACAAUGCAAGAGGAAGAAGACAAGAUCCAAACACCUUUGUUCCUUAUCGGCGACCCCUGACGGUUUGAAAUAUUUCAAUAUUAAAAUUUAGACAAAAAUUUGGGAAACUGCCUAAGAACUUGUGGAGGGAAAGGGUUUUCAUCUUGUUCACCUUGAUUCCUCCAAAGCUGAAGUGAUACCAUUAUAAGAAUCAAAGCAA